rnacentral:rRNA from 1 species
GUGCCAGCAGCCGCGGUAUACCGGCAGCCCAAGUGAUGACCGAUCUUAUUGAGCCUAAAGCGUCCGUAGCUGGCUGCGCAAGUCCGUCGGGAAAUCCACUCGCCCAACGAGUGGGCGUCCGACGGAAACUGCACAGCUUGGGACCGGAAGGCUCGAAGGGUACGUUCGGGGUAGGAGUGAAAUCCCGUAAUCCCGGACGGACUACCGAUGGCUAAAGCACUCUGAGAAGACGGCUUCGACAGUGAGGGACGAAAGCUCGGGUCUCAAACCGGAUUAGAUACCCUUGUAGUCC